rnacentral:rRNA from 1 species
GACGAACGCUGGCGGCGUGCUUAACACAUGCAAGUCGAACGGAAAGGCCCCUUUGGUGGUACUCGAGUGGCGAACGGGUGAGUAACACGUGAGUAACCUGCCCUUGACUUCGGGAUAACUUCAAGAAACUGGGGCUAAUACCGGAUAGGAAUCCUUUCUGCAUGGUGGGGGUUGGAAAGCUUCGGCGGGUUUGGCUGUACUCGCUGGUUAUCUGCUUGUUGGUGGAGUAGUGUCUUACCAAGGCUUUUACGGGUAGCCGGACUGAGAGGGCGACCGGCCACAUUGAGUCCGAGAUGCGGCAGAGGCACCUACGGGAGGGAGCAGGGGGGAAUAUUGAACGAGCGGCGGAGGGCGGAUGCAGAAGGGCUGCGGGCGGGAUGACGGUGUUAGGGUUGAAAAACGAUUUCAGAAGGGGCGAAGCUUGUGGUGACGGUACCUGCAGAAGAAGCAACGGCUAACUACGUG